rnacentral:rRNA from 1 species
UACGUAGGUGGCAAGCGUUGUCCGGAUUUACUGGGUGUAAAGGGCGCGUAGGCGGGAUAGCAAGUCAGAUGUGAAAUCUAUGGGCUUAACCCAUAAACUGCAUUUGAAACUGUUAUUCUUGAGUAUCGGAGAGGCAGGCGGAAUUCCUAGUGUAGCGGUGAAAUGCGUAGAUAUUAGGAGGAACACCAGUGGCGAAGGCGGCCUGCUGGACGACAACUGACGCUGAGGCGCGAAAGCGUGGGGAGCAAAC